GGUAAGUCCAUAGCCUUCGAUAAUCAGCUUUAGUUGAUGUUUCCAUUGAACAAAUGUAUCUUCCCCAAGCUUCACUGUAUCAUGUCUAGGAAAUGACUGGACAAUUCGGUAAGAUCUUUCUCCAUCAGGAAAACAUGGCGAUGAGGAGCUACGGACAGGGGCAGAAUUUCUCAAGGACAUUGCUUCAUUUGCAGACACAUCAGGUGAAGUGGAAGCCAUUGAGCAUAGC
rnacentral:lncRNA from 1 species